rnacentral:rRNA from 1 species
GACAGAGGCCUCGAGCGUUAGGCGGAAUCACUGGGCUUAAAGCGUGUGUAGGCGGAUCGUUAAGUACCUUGUGAAAUCCCACGGCUCAACCGUGGAACUGCUGGGUAUACUGGUUGUCUUGAGCCACUUAGGGGCAGUCGGAACAGAUGGUGGAGCGGUGAAAUGCGUUGAUAUCAUCAGGAACUCCGGUGGCGAAGGCGGCUCGCUGGACCUCUUCUGACGCUGAGGCGCGAAAGCCAGGGGAGCAAACGGG